UCCCCCGUGAGGGGGCAGUCUCGCCAGACACUUAUAACUGGCAACGAGGGUUGCGUUCGUUACCCCACUGAAGGGAACGAUUCAAACCACGAACUGACGACAGCCGUGCAUCACCUGUCCUGCACCCUCUAAGGCUUCCUAGCUUUCGCUAGGCGUGCAGCAGGAUUUCUAAUCUUGGUAAGGUUCUUCGUUUAGCGACGAAUUGAGCCACACGCUCCACCACUUGUGCGAGCUCCCGUCUAUUCCUUUGAGUUUUAGCCUUGCGGCCGUACUACCCAGGCGGAUGACUUAACGCGUUAGCUUCGCCUCCCAGAGGGUCGAUACUCCGGAAAGCCAGUCAUCAUCGUUUAGGGCGUGGACUAC
rnacentral:misc_RNA from 1 species